rnacentral:rRNA from 1 species
AGAGUUUGAUCCUGGCUCAGAUUGAACGCUGGCGGCAUGCCUUACACAUGCAAGUCGAACGGCAGCACGAGAGCUUGCUCUUGGUGGCGAGUGGCGAACGGGUGAGUAAUAUAUCGGAACGUACCCUAGAGUGGGGGAUAACGUAGCGAAAGUUACGCUAAUACCGCAUACGAUCUACGGAUGAAAGUGGGGGAUCGCAAGACCUCAUGCUCAUGGAGCGGCCGAUAUCUGAUUAGCUAGUUGGUGGGGUAAAAGCUCACCAAGGCGACGAUCAGUAGCUGGUCUGAGAGGACGACCAGCCACACUGGAACUGAGACACGGUCCAGACUCCUACGGGAGGCAGCAGUGGGGAAUUUUGGACAAUGGGCGCAAGCCUGAUCCAGCAAUGCCGCGUGAGUGAAGAAGGCCUUCGGGUUGUAAAGCUCUUUUGUCAGGGAAGAAACGGUGGACUCUAAUACAGAUCACUAAUGACGGUACCUGAAGAGUAAGCACCGGCUAACUACGUGCCAGCAGCCGCGGUAAUACGUAGGGUGCAAGCGUUAAUCGGAAUUACUGGGCGUAAAGCGUGCGCAGGCGGUUGUGCAAGACAGAUGUGAAAUCCCCGGGCUCAACCUGGGAAUUGCAUUUGUGACUGCACGGCUAGAGUGUGUCAGAGGGGGGUAGAAUUCCACGUGUAGCAGUGAAAUGCGUAGAGAUGUGGAGGAAUACCGAUGGCGAAGGCAGCCCCCUGGGAUAACACUGACGCUCAUGCACGAAAGCGUGGGGAGCAAACAGGAUUAGAUACCCUGGUAGUCCACGCCCUAAACGAUGUCUACUAGUUGUCGGGUCUUAAUUGACUUGGUAACGCAGCUAACGCGUGAAGUAGACCGCCUGGGGAGUACGGUCGCAAGAUUAAAACUCAAAGGAAUUGACGGGGACCCGCACAAGCGGUGGAUGAUGUGGAUUAAUUCGAUGCAACGCGAAAAACCUUACCUACCCUUGACAUGUCUGGAAUCCUUGAGAGAUCAGGGAGUGCUCGAAAGAGAAUCAGAACACAGGUGCUGCAUGGCUGUCGUCAGCUCGUGUCGUGAGAUGUUGGGUUAAGUCCCGCAACGAGCGCAACCCUUGUCAUUAGUUGCUACGAAAGGGCACUCUAAUGAGACUGCCGGUGACAAACCGGAGGAAGGUGGGGAUGACGUCAAGUCCUCAUGGCCCUUAUGGGUAGGGCUUCACACGUCAUACAAUGGUACAUACAGAGGGCCGCCAACCCGCGAGGGGGAGCUAAUCCCAGAAAGUGUAUCGUAGUCCGGAUUGUAGUCUGCAACUCGACUACAUGAAGUUGGAAUCGCUAGUAAUCGCGGAUCAGCAUGUCGCGGUGAAUACGUUCCCGGGUCUUGUACACACCGCCCGUCACACCAUGGGAGCGGGUUUCACCAGAAGUGGGUAGCCUAACCGCAAGGAGGGCGCUCACCACGGUGGGAUUCGUGACUGGGGUGAAGUCGUAACAAGGUA